rnacentral:rRNA from 1 species
GUGGGGAAUAUUGGACAAUGGGCGAAAGCCUGAUCCAGCCAUGCCGCGUGUGUGAAGAAGGUCUUCGGAUUGUAAAGCACUUUAAGUUGGGAGGAAGGGCAGUAAGUUAAUACCUUGCUGUUUUGACGUUACCGACAGAAUAAGCACCGGCUAACUUCGUGCCAGCAGCCGCGGUAAUACGAAGGGUGCAAGCGUUAAUCGGAAUUACUGGGCGUAAAGCGCGCGUAGGUGGUUUUGUAAGUUGGAGGUGAAAUCCCCGGGCUCAACCUGGGAAGUGCCUCCAAAACUGCAUGACUAGAGUACGGUAGAGGGUAGUGGAAUUUCCUGUGUAGCGGUGAAAUGCGUAGAUAUAGGAAGGAACACCAGUGGCGAAGGCGACUACCUGGACUGAUACUGACACUGAGGUGCGAAAGCGUGGGGAGCAAACAGGAUUAGAUACCCGGGUAGUCC